GAGCACCAGUGGAUGUUGGUCUAGGGGGUGGUUCCUACAACCAAUUCCUCCUAAAUACCAAGCAAUAACUAUAUGUGCCAUUAGAAUGUGGUUCAUUGCUAUUUUAAUCACAUACCGUGUUUUCUUAACUCAUUUAUUUAAUACAUAAAAAGUUUGUUUGUUUGUUUCUUAGACAAUCUCACUCUAUUGCCCAGGCUGAAGUGCAAUGUCACAAUCUCAGAUCACUGCAACCUUGGCCUCCCAGAUUCAAGGGAUUCUUAUGCCUCAGCUUCCCCAGUAGCUGGGAUUACAGCUUCCUGUCUUUCUUCAGAAGAUGUCUCCAAGUAGUCACCAGUCACAAAUUAUCUAUCUACAUACUAUAUCAAAUCACUAUGCAGUUCUGGAAGUCAGAAGUCGGAAACCAGUUUUACUAGGUCAAAAUCAAGGUGUCAAGGCUGUGCUCUCCCUGGGGGCUCUGGGUAAGAAUUUGUUGACUUGCCUUUCCAACUUCUAGAGCUAUAUUCUUUGGCUCUUGGCCCCUUUGUCUUUAAAGCCAACACUGUAACAUCUUGCUUUAGUGGUCACAUUGCCUUCUUCUACAGUAGUCCUUUUACAGUAAUGUAAUUCACAUAUCAAAACUGUCCAGGUAAUGUAGGAUAAUCUCCCUAUGCCAAGAUCCUUAGCUUAAUCACAUUUGAAAAAUUACUUUUGCCAUACAAAAUAGCAGUCACCGGUUUUAGAGAUUGGGACCUGGGUUUCUUUUGGGGAUCAUUAUUCUAGCCUAUCAUAUACCAUUCAAGCAUCAAAGCUAAAAGAAGGAGAAAUGGAGACUCAACAAAUGUUAGGAAGACAAAUAACAAAUAUACAUUACUCAUACAUCUUACAGGCUGUUUUGCUUUUGGUUGCUUGUCUUUUGUAAUUAUAUUUCCAAAUCAAGAGUACACUUUGUGCUUCUAGUUGUAACUUAAU